AAAACCAAACUCUAUAAAUCACUAAUUAUUCCCGUCCUGGUAUAUGGUGCAGAGGCAUGGACGAUGACAACAUCUGGGGGGUUACUCUGUAAGGCGUUACGAAUAGCAAUGCGUUGCGAAAGUGAAUUGCGUUGCGAAGGAAAAUCGGUACUCUGUAACACUUUCGCAUUGUAAACAGUGUUGCACUGCUUUCACGUUGACAAAUUUCCAGUAUAGUUGACAUUACUGACCGAAACGAAGGAGAAUGAAAACAAAAUCAAUAACAGAAAAGUGAAGAAGUGUAGAAAAUUGACAGAUAAACAUGAAAUUAAAUUUGAAGAGUUUUAUAAAUAUAUAAAAGUAAUUUUAAAUAAAUAAAAAAAGUGUGAAUAUGGAUUGCGUUGUGUUGUGGGAGGAAACGAACGAACGAAAUGAACGAGUGGAGCGGAAAUGAUUAAAGACAAGUCCAAUGUGAUGAGUCUUAGUGAAAAAAGGCAAGUUUGAAUGAUAAAGUGUAAUGCAAUUCUUUAAUUUUGUUUGUGCUUUUACUCGUAAAUAGUUUCGUGCAAAAUUUUCGCCUAGGUAAGGAAUCAUUCAAAUAUGUGUUGGACAGCAUAAGUAGUGAGCUAAAAACUCCACGCAAGUCGACAGUAAUACCCGAAAUUGUGAAAUUAGCGGCCACUUUAAAAUUUUUGGCGCAGGGAGGGUAUCAACAGCAAAAUGGACAAGAUCACCACACAGGACUAGCUCAACAAACUGUUUCCCAUUGUGUGUUUGAAGUUUGCAAAGCGAUUGAGAAAGUGUUGUGUCCAAAACACAUAACUUUUGCAAUGACUUCAGAGGAGAAAAAUGAAGCGAAACGAGCCUUUUACUCAGUGUCUGGAAUUCCAGGAGUAAUUGGAGUGGUGGAUGGUACUCACAUCCAAAUGAUACGACCGGCAGUAAAUGAACAUUUAAAUUUUAAUAGGAAAUUAAAACAUAGUACAAACGCUAUGGUGAUAUGUGAUCAUAAGAUGAUGAUCAAAGCCGUUAACGGUCGAUUUGCUGGGGCGUGUCAUGAUUCACAUGUGUGGAAUUUGUCAAGCGAGCGCCAAUAUUUACAAACCAACUAAGUGAAUGGAGAAAUAGGAAUUCGCAUUCUGGGCGAUUCUGGUUUACCGCUUGAGCCAUGGCUUUUAACUCCAUAUAGAAAUGCUGCUGAAAACUCUGCGGAAAGUUACUACAACUACAAAUUUUCAAAAGCCAGAUCCCUUAUCGAACGAGUAUUUGGAGUAUUAAAAGCGCGGUUCCGAUGCCUUUUAGCUGCUAGAGAACUGCAUUAUCUUCUUCUUCUUCUUAAUUGGUGUAGACACCGCUUACGCGAUUAUAGCCGAGUUAACAAC